UACGGGGGGAGCAAGCGUUGUUCGGAUUUACUGGGCGUAAAGGGCGCGUAGGCGGCCACCGCAAGUCGACUGUGAAAUCUCCGGGCUUAACCCGGAAAGGUCAGCCGAUACUGCGGGGCUAGAGUGCAGAAGGGGCAACUGGAAUUCUCGGUGUAGCGGUGAAAUGCGUAGAUAUCGAGAGGAACACCAGCGGCGAAGGCGGGUAGCUGGGCCAACACUGACGCUGAUGCGCGAAAGCCAGGGUAGCAAACGGG
rnacentral:rRNA from 1 species